UGUUGGCUAUGAAGAUUUCUAAUUACAGCUUCAAUGCCAGUUCUGCUUCUGAAAAAUCGUGAUUGUUAGAGCUGUCUAAUGUUCUGAGCCUCUC
rfam:Cicer arietinum chromosome Ca4, whole genome shotgun sequence.